CCUCCCUGGCAACGGGCAAAGAGACGCCUCGUUGAUGGUGUUGUUCUUAUAUCAGUCAGGGGCAGAACAGAUUAUAGUCCGUUGUUCAUCCUAGCUUGAUGCCUGGCCGGAUGGUCAAAGCUGUCUUAUGCCUAGGUCUCAUAA